ACCCGGGUGGCUUAGUUGGUUAAGUGUCUGACUUCUGCUCAGGUCAUGAUCUCACAGCAAGUGGGUUUGAGCCCUACAUCGGGCU
rnacentral:tRNA from 1 species